CUACGGGCUGCAGCAGUGGGGAAUAUUGCACAAUGGGCGCAAGCCUGAUGCAGCCAUGCCGCGUGUAUGAAGAAGGCCUUCGGAUUGUAAAGUACUUUCAGCGGGGAGGAAGGGAGUAAAGUUAAUACCUUUGCUCAUUGACGUUACCCGCAGAAGAAGCACCGGCUAACUCCGUGCCAGCAGCCGCGGUAAUACGGAGGGUGCAAGCGUUAAUCGGAAUUACUGGGCGUAAAGCGCACGCAGGCGGUUUGUUAAGUCAGAUGUGAAAUCCCCGGGCUCAACCUGGGAACUGCAUCUGAUACUGGCAAGCUUGAGUCUCGUAGAGGGGGGUAGAAUUCCAGGUGUAGCGGUGAAAUGCGUAGAAAUCUGGAGGAAUACCGGUGGCGAAGGCGGCCCCCUGGACGAAGACUGACGCUCAGGUGCGAAAGCGUGGGGAGCAAACAGGAUUAGAUACCCCAGUAGUC
rnacentral:rRNA from 1 species